UACAGAGGGUGCGAGCGUUAAUCGGAAUUACUGGGCGUAAAGGGCGCGUAGGCGGUUUAUUGGGUGUGAUGUGAAAGCCUUGGGCUUAACCUGAGAAGUGCAUCGCAAACUAAUAGACUGGAGUAGAUGAGAGGGUGGCGGAAUUUCCGGUGUAGCGGUGAAAUGCGUAGAGAUCGGAAGGAACGUCAAUGGCGAAGGCAGCCACCUGGCAUCAUACUGACGACUGGAGGUGACGAAAGCGUGGGGAGCAAACAGG
rnacentral:rRNA from 1 species